rnacentral:rRNA from 1 species
GAAUCAACGCUGGCGGCGUGCCUAACACAUGCAAGUCGAACGCGACUGGGGCUUCGGCCUCAGUUGAGUGGCGAACGGGUGAGUAACACGUGGGUGACCUACCUUCGAAUGGGGGAUAACGUCCCGAAAGGGACGCUAAUACCGCAUAACAUCCUGCCUUUGAACAGGCGGAGAUCAAAGCCGGGGAUCGCAAGACCUGGCGUUUGAAGAGGGGCCCGCGUCCGAUUAGCUAGUUGGUGAGGUAACGGCUCACCAAGGCGACGAUCGGUAGCCGGCCUGAGAGGGCGGACGGCCACACUGGGACUGAGACACGGCCAGACUCCUACGGGAGGCAGCAGUGGGGAAUUGUUCGCAAUGGGCGCAAGCCUGACGACGCAACGCCGCGUGGAGGAUGAAGGUCUUCGGAUUGUAAACUCCUGUUG